rnacentral:pre_miRNA from 9 species
UCUCGAUAACGUAAAAGUUAACUUACUAAUUUGUAUGGAGUUGGAGCGUUUGCCUACGUUUGCCACUAGAGGCGCUGUUCCAACUGCAUACAAAUUUGGGUUAACUUUUACGCGACGUA